CUGUGAGUUGACAGUGAGGUCCUUGAAGUGGGAGUAAGGUCCAUGAGGUGACUUGUGCCUCUGUGGUCUGAGUAAUUAUGAAGUCACCAUGAGGACUGAGGUGGCAUUGAGGACCUGCAGUGGAACAGAGAGGAGCUUUAGAUUGGCAGAGAGGCCUAUAUGACAGCUGAGUCUCUGUAGUGACAAGGAAGUGCUGAGAAGUGGCAAUGAGGAUGUGUGGUCUAAGGUGAGGCCUGUGAGGUGACAACAAGACCUAUGAGGUGGCAGUGAGGCCUGUGAGGUGACAGUAAGACCUGUGAGGUGGCACUGAGAGUCUGUGAGGAGGCAGCGAGGGGUGGCAGUGAAGGACUAGUGGUGCCUUAAAGCCUUGAAGGCCACCGAGGAUGGACCUCUCCCUGGUGGAGUCUUCCUGUGUGGAGACAGGAUCCAUUCCAAAGGGAGCUACCACCACAUGCUCUACUCGAUCUACGGAGCACAGCAAGGUCCUGGACCCACAAGGUGGCUUCUGCAGAGAGCUGGGUAAAUCAGAUGCCCCAAAUCUAUCUUUCUGACGAUUUUAAAUGAGUACAGCACACACCAGUCAUUAGGACUAAAAUUCAUCACGCUCACUGAAGCUGCUGCGUCCGUUCCCACCUGGAGAAGCAGAAGUCAGUGGAGGCUUGGCAGGAAAGCAGUGCCAAUGUUCACCAACAAGAUCGAAAGAGAACCUAAUGCUGACUGCUAAGGAAAUGGGAAAAUGCAAACCGAACCAAAAAUAAUAAAAACUGGAAUUAAAAUU
rnacentral:lncRNA from 1 species